GGUUUGUGGCCUCUCAUAUCUGAACAUCCUUCGAGAACUGAAACGCUUACUUGCUCAUCUGUGGUGUGUGAAAGGGGAAAACAGAAAUUUGAUUUCAUUUUUUGUUCAUUACCACAGCAAGUAGUUGGCUUCAUCUUAGUCUGUGAAAUGAUCUUAGAUGGAAUAAUCUAGAUGUUACAUAGACAAAUAUCUUUAGUAUCUGUAACGAGGAUGGAUUAUCAAGAACCAACAAGAAGAGCGGAAAAGUCAGUAACCCACGUUGUGUACACCAGUCUCAAGAAAAGAGAUUUCAAUCGAAUGUGUGGACAAUGCUGAUGGAUUUCCUGGUGUGGUCAUCUAUGACGAUAUAACAUUCCCCAUUCAACAAGAUGUCAUAGAGCGGCAUGCUUCAGGCUCUUACAGUUCUGUGCAACCUUUCCAAAUUGCCCAUGAUGACACUGAGGACCCUGCCACACUGGAUAGGGAUCCUCCGGAGACUGACAGUAAUCCACGCCACAGUCUUCAAGAGGAAGAGGAGGCAAAGAGGAUGACUUGAGGCAUCUACAGCCCUGACAAAGUUCAACUUAGCUUUCUCAUCAGUUAGUUCUUUAUAUUUUGUUUCUUAUCUUUGUCUGUUCCAAACUAACUGAUACAGAAUUGUAUGUGUCUUACUAUUUCCUUGCCGGGAGCAGUUUCCAGGCAACUGAGACUACACUAAAUUUUUGAGUUGCCUCACACUAUGUUUGACUAUCCAGCAUUAUAAAAACACUGCUCUGGUAACAAAGUGUCCGGCUCACAGGUUUACUCUGUAAUCCGGAUGACUGAGUUAAACAUACCUUCACUAAAAUGGAAUAUAAUAUUUAUAAUAUUUCCCUGUUAAAUAACAGGAAAUUACUGGCAGCAGUGUUAUUUUAACAGUUCAUUUCUGGGAACGUUUUCUUUUCUUUUUAUAAAUGUUAAAAAAAGCAUUGAAUACACUCACACGAAGACUUCACACUUCAUGGAACUCCUGGUCAAUAAAGAGCAAUAAACAAUAAAAACACUGUCACUGCUUGGACCACUGACCAUUUUGUAAAACAAAGCACACAAUGAGGAUCCUUUGGCAAGUCUU